rnacentral:rRNA from 1 species
UACGGGGGGAGCAAGCGUUGUUCGGAUUUACUGAGCGUAAAGGGCGCGUAGGCGGCCAGCGCAAGUCAGUUGUGAAAUCUCCGGGCUUAACUCGGAAAGGUCAACUGAUACUGCGCGGCUAGAGUGCAGAAGGGGCAACUGGAAUUCUCGGUGUAGCGGUGAAAUGCGUAGAUAUCGAGAGGAACACCUGCGGCGAAGGCGGGUUGCUGGGCUGACACUGACGCUGAUGCGCGAAAGCCAGGGGAGCGAACGGG